AGAUGGUCCCGUAGCGCGUGCGUGUUGAUAAGAAGAGCAGUCUCGACUCACCUCACCCUUCGCUAAAGUGUCAGUGUAUGUCAGGACGUGGUAGGGAGGGGACGUUGCUCUCCCGCUGCCCGAGUGGAAUCAUUUAAGUCCCCCGCACAACCCUUCGAGGAGACGUGCGCCCGAUUAACUGAACCGUGACUGAAACAGGUGGAAAUAAUUAACGUGAAGUGCUCAGGAGGACAAAACGCUUCGCUCACUUGUAUAUCGUUAAUGGGAUGAAAAAUGCGGAAGGUUUGAACAUGGACAAAGUGUUACCGAGGACCAAGGGAUAAAAAGGACAAGCUGAACUGAACGAAAAGAAACGAACCGCCCACCUCCACGAAUGGCACGUUACUAAAUCCAAUGAAACAGCCCCAAGUGAACUAUCCUUAAUGAAACAUCUGAACUGAGCGAUGUAUUGUGGAAUGGUGCACCUGCUGAACGCUGCUUACUGGGAAAUUUGAUCAGAUGUUACCAGUUAAUUUCUAUGGCAUUACAAAACGUGGUGGAAUAAUCUUGCUGUGAGCGAUACUAAGUGAAAAAGAUUAGAGUGAAGUGAAGGAGGAACUGAAAAAUAUUGGGUGGAUAAAAUCAUAAACCAGCAGAACGAAAGAAGGAGAAAAAUUUAAACAAAGUGGAAAUCGAAAUGCAAAAAAUAAACAGAAGCCAGACGUGCGGAGAUAAAA